rnacentral:misc_RNA from 1 species
UGGUUCUGGCAUNGAUGAAGAACGCAGCGAAAUGCGAUAAGUAAUGUGAAUUGCAGAAUUCAGUGAAUCAUCGAAUCUUUGAACGCACAUUGCGCCCCUCGGCACUCCGGGGGGCAUGCCUGUUCGAGCGUCAUUGCGCCUCUCAAGCCCAGAGCUUGGUCUUGGGCUCCGCCCCCUGUCCCGGGGGGCGCGCCUCGAAAGCAGUGGCGGUCCGGAGCGACUCCGAGCGCGGUAGAACACAUUUCGCUUCCGGACGCUCGCGCCGGGCCCGCCAGGCAACCGUUCUCCCAGGAUUGACCUCGGAUCAGGUAGGGAUACCCGCUGA